rnacentral:lncRNA from 1 species
CUGGGAAUCAAUGUGUGAGGUGGUGCUUUUUAGCAGGAACCCCUCUCGCUUUGCAAAUAGUUUUUUGUUUGUUUUCCUUUUUGCCCAAUAGAGCCCUGCUCUACUGACCCUUCAAUGUGCCCGUGUGCCUAAAUAUUCCUGGUCGUGUGAAAAGAACCCAGGUAUUAGCUGAACUAAGGAGCACAAUUCUGCAACAUUUUGGCACCCAAACACGGGGCUUGAGAAAUGAAUGCAAUUGGAGAAACUGGUUGUUUUACCAGGCGUUGAUUGGAAAUGUGUGCUUCCCUUUAAGCAGUCAAGCUCAACUUGCAGAGCUGAUGGAAACCCCUUGGGAAAACUGGCCUCAAACGUUUGUCUACACAGUCCACAUACAGGGUUCUUAACCUGCGAUGAGGGAAACUUCCCAGGGCUUGUCUGGGUAUGCCCACAGUGGACUGGAGCCCAACCUGCACACUGGAGGAAGUGGGUGGAGCCACGUGGAUGUCAUGCCUUAUGCAGGGGAGGAGCCUGCUCUCUUCAGCUCCUGUGGUAAUGUGGGAAUUGAUCUGUGAGCAUAUUUAACUAUCGGGCUAUUUUGGAGAUUGAAAAAAGAAGACCUGAUUUAUCAUGUGCAAUAUCUCAUUCGACCGCAAUUCGAUGGAGUCUUGUUCUGUGGUCCAGGCUGGACGGCAGUGGCAUGAUCUCGGCUCACUACAAGCUCCGCCUCCCGGGUUCACGCCAUUCUCCUGCCUCAGCCUCCCGAGUAGCUGGGACUACAGGCGCCCGCCACCACGCCUGGCUAAUUUUUUGUAUAUUUACUAGAGAUGGCCAGUGUUAGCCAAGAUGGUCUCGAUCUCCUUACCUUGUGAUCCGCCCACCUCAGCCUGCCAAAGUGCUGGGAUUACUGAUGUGAGCCACCGUGCCUGGCCAGCAUCCUCUAAUUGUUAUUCAUAGUUUGUAAAUUUAGGCCUACAUGAAUAAUAAUAUAAUAUUUACUAUGAUGUUACUAUCUACCAACCUUAUUUUUCUUUUCUAUAAAAUAGGAGCCAAAAUAAUAUUUAUGUCAUAUCUUAUGAAGUUAAAAUAAAAUAUAACGAAUGAGGGGCUUAA